rnacentral:rRNA from 1 species
UACGGGGGGGGCAGGCGUUGUUCGGAAUUACUGGGCGUAAAGGGCUCGUAGGCGGCCAACUAAGUCAUACGUGAAAUCCCUCGGCUUAACCGGGGAACUGCGUCUGAUACUGGAUGGCUUGAGAUUGGGAGAGGGAUGCGGAAUUCCAGGUGUAGCGGUGAAAUGCGUAGAUAUCUGGAGGAACACCGGUGGCGAAGGCGGCAUCCUGGACCAACACUGACGCUGAGGAGCGAAAGCCAGGGGAGCAAACGGG